rnacentral:rRNA from 1 species
GAUUAACGCUGGCGGCGUGCAUAACACAUGCAAGUCGAACGAUGAAACUUAACUGAUUUCUUCGGCAUGAGUGUAAGUGGAGUAGUGGCGGACGGGGGAGUAACGCGUGAGUAACCUGCCAUGGAGAAGGGGAUAGCCUUUGUAAACGAAGAAUAAUACUCUAUGAUAUGAUAAUAUGGCAUGAUAUGAUCAUCAAGGAUUUAUCGCUCUGAGAUGGACUUGCGUCUGAUUAGGUAGUUGGUGAGGUAACAGAUCACUAAGGCGGCGAGCAGGAGCCGGCGUGUGAGCGUGCACGGCGGCAUUGGGACUGGGACACGGCCCCGACUCCUGCCAGCGGCAGCAGUGGGGACACUUGCACCAGGGGCGAAACGCUGAUGCGGCGCCGCCGCGAGAUUUAGAUUGCCUUCGGGUUGUAAUAUUCUUUUGUAUGGGGAGAAAAUGACAGUACCAUACGAAUAAGGACCGGCUAAUUACGUG